rnacentral:rRNA from 1 species
GUGGGGAAUUUUGGACAAUGGGCGCAAGCCUGAUCCAGCAAUGCCGCGUGCAGGAAGAAGGCCUUCGGGUUGUAAACUGCUUUUGUACGGAACGAAACGGUCCUGGCUAAUAUCCGGGGCUAAUGACGGUACCGUAAGAAUAAGCACCGGCUAACUACGUGCCAGCAGCCGCGGUAAUACGUAGGGUGCGAGCGUUAAUCGGAAUUACUGGGCGUAAAGCGUGCGCAGGCGGUUUUGUAAGAUCGAUGUGAAAUCCCCGGGCUCAACCUGGGAACUGGAUUGGUGACUGCAAGGCUGGAGUGAGGCAGAGGGGGAUGGAAUUCCGCGUGUAGCAGUGAAAUGCGUAGAUAUGCGGAGGAACACCGAUGGCGAAGGCAAUCCCCUGGGCCUGCACUGACGCUCAUGCACGAAAGCGUGGGGAGCAAACAGGAUUAGAUACCCCGGUAGUCC